rnacentral:rRNA from 1 species
UACGAAGGGGGCUAGCGUUGUUCGGAAUCACUGGGCGUAAAGGGCGCGUAGGCGGCUGUUCAAGUCGGGGGUGAAAUCCUGUGGCUCAACCACAGAAUGGCCUUCGAUACUGGACGGCUGGAGACCGGAAGAGGUGAGUGGAACUGCGAGUGUAGAGGUGAAAUUCGUAGAUAUUCGCAAGAACACCAGUGGCGAAGGCGGCUCACUGGUCCGGUUCUGACGCUGAGGUGCGAAAAGCGUGGGGAGCAAACAGG